AUGAACGCUGGCGGCGUGCCUCAUACCUGCAAGUCGAGCGCACGGACGAGAAGCUUGCUUCUCUGAUGUUAGCGGCGGACGGGUGAGUAACACGUGGAUAACCUACCUAUAAGACUGGGAUAACUUCGGGAAACCGGAGCUAAUACCGGAUAAUAUUUUGAACCGCAUGGUUCAAAAGAGAAAGACGGUCUUGCUGUCACUUAUAGAUGGAUCCGCGCUGCAUUAGCUAGUUGGUAAGGUAACGGCUUACCAAGGCAACGAUGCAUAGCCGACCUGAGAGGGUGAUCGGCCACACUGGAACUGAGACACGGUCCAGACUCCUACGGGAGGCAGCAGUAGGGAAUCUUCCGCAAUGGGCGAAAGCCUGACGGAGCAACGCCGCGUGAGUGAUGAAGGUCUUCGGAUCGUAAAACUCUGUUAUUAGGGAAGAACAUAUGUGUAAGUAACUGUGCACAUCUUGACGGUACCUAAUCAGAAAGCCACGGCUAACUACGUG
rnacentral:rRNA from 1 species